GGCAGUUCUCGGGUGAUGCACCCCAGAAUUGGGCUCCCUCCUCUCUGGUUCUGGGUGUGUCACCUGAGAACCGCA
rfam:Myotis davidii contig29934, whole genome shotgun sequence.